UACGUAGGGGGCAAGUGUUAUCCGGAUUUACUGGGUGUAAAGGGAGCGUAGACGGACUGGCAAGUCUGAUGUGAAAGGCGGGGGCUCAACCCCUGGACUGCAUUGGAAACUGUUAGUCUUGAGUGCCGGAGAGGUAAGCGGAAUUCCUAGUGUAGCGGUGAAAUGCGUAGAUAUUAGGAGGAACACCAGUGGCGAAGGCGGCUUACUGGACGGUAACUGACGUUGAGGCUCGAAAGCGUGGGGAGCAAACAGG
rnacentral:rRNA from 1 species